rnacentral:rRNA from 1 species
AGGGGCAUCAGUUUGGUUUGCUUGCAAACCAAAGCUGGCGACCGGCGCACGGGUGAGUAACACGUAUCCAACCUACCUCAUACUCGGGGAUAGCCUUUCGAAAGAAAGAUUAAUAUCCGAUAGCAUAUAUUUCCCGCAUGGGUUUUAUAUUAAAGAUUCAUCGCUGAUAGAUAGGCAUGCGUUCCAUUAGGCAGUUGGCGGGGUAACGGCCCACCAAACCGACGAUGGAUAGGGGUUCUGAGAGGAAGGUCCCCACAUUGGUACUGAGACACGGACCAAACUCC